rnacentral:lncRNA from 1 species
UUUGGAGAGCUUGAUCACACGAAUUCAAAGCACGGCAAUUCCAAGUAGGUUGAAAUCGAUCAUCUCCUUUUGCUUUUUUUCUUGAUAUGAUUGUGUAGAUCUCACUUAGCUGAGCAUGCUGAUAUGUUUAGAUCUUGAUUUGGCUUAGAAAUGAACAUGUAUGAUGAGCUUCAAGUUUUGAUGAUGAAAAUGUUUUUGCUCG